CAUACACAUAAAAACAAAUGUUUAAAAAUACUGGCGAUGGUGCACACAACAAAGGAAUUUCGUCGCCUUUGAGGGGCUGUGCGGUGCCCCCCAGAGUGAAUCAGGAGGUUCCACAGCC